UGAUCUCUUUGUGCCACGUGUCCCUUAU
rnacentral:piRNA from 1 species